UAUAUAUAUAUAUAUAUAUAUAUAUAUAUAUAUAUAUAUAUUUAAAUUGCAUUCUUUAACAGCUGCUGCCCGAGGGUUUGGUUUCCAACCAGCCUGAAUCUAGGUACUAACUGGUCUUGGCACACCAUCAACUACAAGGAGCUAUUAAAAUAAGCUACUCAGACAAUCAAAAAGGUUAGAGAGACAACCAAGAGCUAAGGCAGGGUUGAAUAAUAAGGUUCACCUCCUAAACAAGGCCAGCCUUUCAAGAAUGGGAGAAGUGUCUUUUCAUCUAAUGCACAGAAAACAACAGUCAAGGCAAAUGAAGAAACAGGAAUAUGUUCCAGAGGGAAGAAAAAAAUAAAAAUCUCUGGAAAAACCUUAAGGAAGAUGGUAGGUAAUUUACCUGAUAACAGUCCAAAAGAUGGAAAAUAUAAUGAAAUACCAAAUAGAAGUCACAGCUGUAGAAUCCAGUCACUGAACUGAAAAAUACAUUAGAAGGGUUCAAUAGCAGACUAGAUGAAACAGAAGAAAAGAACAGUGAACUCGAAUACCUGGCAGUGGAACUACCCAGGCAGAGGAGAUUAAGGGACAUGGGGCAAAACCAAGCAUACUAACACAAUAGGGGUCCCAGAAGGAGGUGAGAAAGAGAAGGGGGUUGAAAACUUCCCUAAACCUGGUAAGGAAACAGGCAUCCAGAUCCAGGAACGCCAGAGAGUUCCAAAUAAGAGGAAGGCAAAAAGACCCACACCAAGGCAUGGUUUAAAAGAGAAAAGGUAAAGAUGACCAAAAAGAAAAGUCCUAAAAGCAGCAAGAGAAGAACAACUUGGUAAGUAAAGGGAACCCCCAUAAGACUAUAAGAUUUUUGUCAACAGAAAUUUUGCAAGCUGGAAGGGAGUGGCACAGAAGCUGAAGGAGUUCAUCACCACGAAACUGGCCUUACAAGAAAUGUUAAAGGGACUACUUUUAAGCUGAAAAAGGAUGCUAAUUAGUUAAAAAGAAAAUAUGAAAGUAUAGAUCUCACUGGUAAUGGUAAAUAUAUAGUAAGGGUAGUAGAUUAAUCACUUACAAAGUUAGCAUGAGGGUUAAAAGACAUAAUAAAACUACAAUAAUUGGUUAAGGGAUAUUCAAGAUUAAAAGAUGUUAAAUGUGGGACACCUGCGUGGCUCAGUCAGUUGAGCAUCUGACUUCAGCUUACGUCGUGAUCUCUCAGUUCAUGAGUUUGAGCCCCACAUCAGGCUCACAAGCUGUCAGCACAGAGCCCACUUCGGAUCCUCUGUACCCCUCUGUCGGCCCCUCCCCUGCUUGUGCUUGUUCAAAAAUAAAGAUGUUUAACAUCAAAAACAUAAAACCCGUGGAUGGAGGUUAAAAUGUAGAACUUCAAAAUACAUCCAACCUUACAACGUUACCAAUUUAAAAUAGACUGUUAUAAGUUGUAAUAUAUAAGCUUUAUGGUAACCACAAAGCAGAAAGCUCUACUAGAUACACAAAGGAUAAUAAAGCAACCAAAGCAUACCACCAAAGAAAGUUAUGAAAUCACAUAGGAAGAGAGCAAAACCCAUCUAUAUAUAUGCUGCCUAGAAAAGACUCAUUUCAGAUAGAAGGACACAGAAAGUGAAGGAAUGGAAACCAAAAGAAAACUGGGGUAGCUGUGCUUACAUCAGACAAAACAUACUUGAAAACAAAAACUGUAACAUGAGACUAAAAAGGGCAUUAUGCGAUGAUAAAGGGGCCAGUCCAACAAGAGGACAGAGCAUUUUAAAGUAGUUAUGCAGCCAACAUAGAAGCACCUAAACAUGUAAAGUCAAUAUUACCAGACAUAAAGGGAGCAAUAGCAGUAUAAUACUAGAGUACUUUAAUACCUCACAUCAACACAUAGAUCAUCCAAGCAGAAGAUCAAUAAGGAAGCAGUCUUAAAUGACAUGUUAGACCACAUGGACCUAACAGACAUGUAUAGAACAUUCCAUCCCAAAGCAGGAGAAUAUGCACUCCUCUCAAGGGCACAUGGAACAUAACAUUCUCCAGGAUAAAUAUGUUAGGCCACAAAACAGAUCUUAAUAAAACAGAUUAAAAUCAUACACAUCUGAAAAAGAUGAAAAAAACCACAAUGGUAUUAAACUAGAAAUCAGUUAUAAGAAGAAAACUAGAAAAUUCACUAAUAACGCGGAGAUUAAAUAACAUGCUACUGAACCAAUUUGUCAAUGAAGAAAUAAUACCUUGAGACAAAUGGAAAUAAAACAUACCAACGUGUAUAGGGUACAACAAAAGCAGUUAUAAGUGGGAAGUUCAUAGCAAUAAUGCCUACUUCAAUUAAAAAAAAAAUCUCUAACUUUACACUUCAAGGAACUAGAGAAGAAAACAACAGACAAAACCCAAAGUUAGUAGAAGGAAGGAAAUAAUAAAGUUCAGAGCUGGUUCUUUGAAAAGAUCAGUAAGAUGGCAAACCUUGAGUUAGACUUACCAAGAAAAAAAGAAGAUUUAAAUAAAAUCAGAAAUGAAAGGAUGUGUUAAACCAGAAACCACACAUGUAUAAAGGAGCAUAAGAGACUAGUGUGAACAAUUACACACCGACAAAUUGGGAACCUAGAAGAAAUGACAAAUAAAGGUGGUAAUAAGCUCCUUGGCAUUGGUCUUGACAAUGUUUCAGAGUGGACACCAAAAAGCAAAGACAACAAAAGUAAAAAUAAA